CUUCCCUGUUUGAGCAGCAGCCACUGCAUCCCUGGUGCCCUGCGUGAGCAGUGCCAGCUCCCAUGAGUUGCCCUCGUGGCACAGAGAGCCCGCAGAUUCCAGCUGCAUUACAGGGCAGUAGGUUCUGCAGGCUUUGAGGUCUUCAGCCACUGCCGCCCUCCUUCAGGCUCUGUCCCUCCCUUAGGUCAGGAACAUCCCAUGUGUGCCACAGGGACAGGCUGGGGCGCUGCGCCUGUGAUGCCGACUGAGCACAUGCUGCACUGCAAAAGGGCCCCCGGUGCCGGUGCCGGCCGCGCCGCACGGAGCAUGCCUCUGAGCCCCGCCGGCAGCAAGCAUGAGAGCCCGGAGUCGCCGCCGCCAGAGCCGCCGCCGCCGCCGGAGCGACAGCCCCGCGCCGCCGGGGAGCCGGGCGCCGGCCUGCGGGAGGAGACGCGGCUCGACCCGGCCCGGGGCCCCGGCGGGCCCCGCUCCCCCAAGCUGGCGGCCCCGGCGCGCAUGGAGGAGCCCGCGCCCGGCGCCAUCGUCGUCCGCAUCGGCAUCCCCGACCUCCAGCAGACGGUUCAUCUGAGCAUAUGUGUGGAGCGAGUGGGGACCGGAGUUUGCUGCCCUUGGACCAGUUCCCUGGUGCCACUCACCGUCUGCAAACACCGCACCCAUGGGAGGGAGCACAGGGACAUCUCUCCUGUCAGAUUGGCUCACCCCACUGUGCAGCCUCAGCUCCUUCUGUGCUGUUCAUCCCCUCCCUUGCUGCCCUGAUUGAAUUGUAAUAAUAAAUUUACACAGUAACAUUUCA
rnacentral:lncRNA from 1 species